UGUCGCCUCUGUUUGCCUUACAUACAGCAUUGACUUGUUGUUGGUUUUGUUGGAUUUUAGCAUUUGGCCACACGCCAAAAGUAAUGCUAAACGAAGUAAACGUAUCGCACAAUCGCAACAAUAUUUCCCCGGGCCGAGAGCGCUGAGACGGAACGCUCCUCAUAUCAAUAGCAGCCGCAAGCCCAGCAACAACUACUUAAAUUAAUAUAAUAUACAAUAUUAUACAAAUCGAGUAACAUUUAGUAAUCCAAGUAGUAUGUAUCCAUCAACGGGCAGCGGCAAUCUGACCAGGCGUAAAUGGGUGAGUGGUGAGUGAAUAAGUAGUGUGUGCGCAAAUUGUCAACAUACUGCAAAUUAAGUGGCGGAAGAGCCCCUGUAGGGCAUGGAGAGCAUUUCACACUUUAAAUCAUUUUUGAGCAAAAAGUGGCAUCUAUGAUUUUAAAAAGUGGGCAUGGCCCCGACCUCUAAUAAGUUUAAUGUAUAUAUAACCAAAUUCGUUCAGGGCAAAUAUUUUGUGAAAAUGGGUGAAUUCGGAUUAUAACCCCGCCCACUCCGCAUAUAACGGUUUGGUUAAAAACGACUAAAAGUGCGAUAAACCUAUAACUAAAUGUACCCGAGAUGGUAGAAUAGAGCUCAAAAGAAGCUGGUUGCAAAACUGUACGAUGGGCACAUUUAAGUGGAAACUUAUAUCUCGGGACCUAUUCUACCGAUUUAAACUUAAUUAGUAUACCGAAUAUGUGGACGCCCGUUCCAAUUGCGUCAAACAUUUGUUUAUUUAAAUUCGAAACAAAUUUUCCCUGGCCUUUAUCUUGCAAAUUGCAAGAGUAUAAAAUGUUCGGUUACACCCGAACUAAGCCCUUCCUUACUUGUUUCUUAAUUUUUAAUAGUUUGGGGUAAAAAAUUUAAUUUUUAAUUUUUAAAACCGGUUUUGGGACUAGAAUUACAAUAGAUUGUGAAAAUUAUGUUUAAUAAAGAUUUUUGGGAUUACAAAAUAAAAAUAAAUAAUACAAUACAAUAAUAAUUU